ACUGGCUUCCUUUCCUCCUUCUCAUGUUAUUCCAGAAGUGGGGCUCGGCGGCAGCUGAAGCAUUUCCACGGUGUUUGAAGAGGAGCGGUGCCUGCCCUCCCUCUCCGGUGGGAACUGCUUGCGUGGGCAUAUUUUGCAUGCAUGCCCUGCCGAGCUGCUCUGAAUUCUUGUUCCUGGACAUGGCAAAGCCCAGCUUCCCUUCUGCCCUCCCCCCUGCCAGUUUUUUUCCUAAACGUUAAGAUAACGCUUUCAAACUUACAUUUUUUUUUUAAAGCUAUCCCAAUGCGAUGUUUAAGGUUAGAAGGGGGUUUCUUUGCCCCUGUACCUCUGCAUUGGUACGUUGGCUGCGGUUUUGAUUGCUUAGCCCUGCUGUGUGUAAGGAAGCGAGGCUUGUCUCCCAGGAUAAUUCCGGCAGCUGCUGGUAACUUGCGAGCAGGUUCAGGGCAGAGCCAAUAGCUGCAGGCGCAGGGAGCGUUAUUUUUUGUGAAAGCCCGUAUCUGGUUAGAAAAAGGAGAAAUGAUCCAGGCCCAGGAGGCUGCCGGCACCCCUAGAAAGGAGCAGGAACCAGGGCCGGCGGUUGUGCUUCUUGCAAAACAGCCCCUCUCUCCCCACGGAGCAGAAAUGCGGUUGUCCGUCCGUAACGGCAGUUUGCUUUCUAGCCCGCGCUCUGCAGACCCUCUGACGGGGACCAGAAGCACCAAGCCCACCCGCUCCGCUUCUGCUGGGACCGCGGGCUGCCCAGCCAGCGUCCCCAUCCCACGGGAGCUGAGUAAUGCCCCUGGCAGCCCGUGCUGACCCCGUGCUGUGACUGGCGUGACGCCGCAGUUCCCAACCGGGCAACUAAAUGGCCGAGUCAGGCGCAUGUGACUGCUGUUGAGAAAUCAUCUGCUGGUGAACCUGGAGGAAACCACUUCCCCGAGCUGCUGGGGAAAACCGCCCUGCGUGGCCGGGGGUCUCAGCCCCCCCCAGGCCCCUCUGCUGCUGGCUCGGCUCCGGAGAAGCUACGGGUAUUCCCUGUCCCCUCCAAAAGCGCCGUGCUGGUGCCUAAACCGAGUCUUGCCAGAGGCUAACACUGUGUGUGGAAACCUUCAAGUCCUUUCCUACAGCUCCGUCCGCCGUAGGAGGAGGAGAAAAGUAGGAUCUGAAACUCAGGUUGAAAAACAUAGCUUAAAAAAAGCAGGGGAAACCAGCCUCCCUUGGUUUGUUGUUGGUUUUUUUUUUUUUUUUUCCUCCAGCUUCGCUUGCAUUAAAACUAAGCACUGCCCUGGAG